rnacentral:rRNA from 1 species
CCUACGGGCUGCAGCAGUGAGGAAUAUUGGUCAAUGGACGAGAGUCUGAACCAGCCAAGUAGCGUGAAGGAUGACUGCCCUAUGGGUUGUAAACUUCUUUUAUAUGGGAAUAAAAUGUUCCACGUGUGGGCUUUUGUAUGUACCAUAUGAAUAAGGAUCGGCUAACUCCGUGCCAGCAGCCGCGGUAAUACGGAGGAUCCGAGCGUUAUCCGGAUUUAUUGGGUUUAAAGGGAGCGUAGGUGGAUUGUUAAGUCAGUUGUGAAAGUUUGCGGCUCAACCGUAAAAUUGCAGUUGAAACUGGCAGUCUUGAGUACAGUAGAGGUGGGCGGAAUUCGUUGUGUAGCGGUGAAAUGCUUAGAGAUCACGAAGAACUCCGAUUGCGAAGGCAGCUCACUGGACUGCAACUGACACUGAGGCUCGAAAGUGUGGGUAUCAAACAGGAUUAGAUACCCUAGUAGUC